GUGCUUACAAGCAGUUACAGCCCGUUAAAGGGUGGUAGCGUACUUUUUGUAGAACGGUCCGGCGAGUUAUAGUCACUAGCGAGCUUAAGACAUUCAGUGUCGGAGGCGUAGGGAAACCGAGUCUGAAGAGGGCGUAUGAAGUUAGUGGCCAUAGACCCGAAACCAUGUGACCUAGCCAUGAGCAGGAUGAAGUGGAGGUAAAGCUCCAUGGAGGUCCGAACGCACGUUCGUUGCAAUGACCGGCGAUGACUUGUGGCUAGCGGUGAAAUUCCAAUCGAACUUGGAGAUAGCUGGUUCUCCCCGAAAUAGCUUUAGGGCUAGCGUUGGGAAUGAGUUUAGCGGAGGUAAAGCACUGAAUGAGCUAGGGGGCGCAAGCUUACUGAACUCUAUCAAACUAAGAAUGCCGCAUAAAUGCUUCCCAGCAGUCAGACUGCGAGUAAUAAAAUCCGUGGUCAAAAGGGUAACAGCCCAGACCCACAGCUAAGGUCCCCAAUACAUGCUAAGUGGAAAACGAUGUGAGAUUGCAUAAACAACCAGGAUGUUGGCUUAGAGGCAGCCACUCGUUCAAAGAGUGCGUAAUAGCUCACUGGUCGAGUGAUCCAGCGCCGAAAAUGUAACGGGGCUAAAACGCGACACCGAAGCAGCGGGAUGCGUAAGCAUCGGUAGAGGAGCAUUGUGUGAGGGUUGAAGCCAGAGCGAGAGCACUGGUGGACUUCACAGAAGAGAGAAUGCCGGUAUGAGUAGCGAGACCCAUGCGAGAAACAUGGGCGUCGAAGGCCCAAGGUUUCCUGGGGAAGGUUCAUCCACCCAGGGUAAGUCGGGACCUAAGCCGAGGACUGAGGUCGUAGGCGAUGGACAGCAGGUAGAGAUUCCUGCACCACUUACACUUGUUUGACGAAGCAGUGACACAGAAGGAUAGGACGGGCGCGGUGAUGGUCAACCGCGUAGGCGGCACGAGGCCGGGAAGCAGUGAAGUACACUUCCCGCAAAGGCUGAGUGUUGACAGGACCGAAAAGAAGUAGGGAAGCGUCCGAGUUCACGCUGGCGAGAAAAGCUGCUAAGGAGCGAAAGGGUGCCUGUACCGCAAACCGACACAGGUAGGCGAGGAGAGAAUCCUAAGACGAGCGGGAGAACCCAUGUUAAGGAACUCGGCAAAAUGACCCUGUAACUUCGGGAUAAAGGGAGCCACGAGAGUGGCCGCAGAGAAUAGGCCCAAGCGACUGUUUACCAAAAACACAGGUCUGUGCGAAGUAGAGAUACGACGUAUACGGGCUGACGCCUGCCCAGUGCCGGAAGGUUAAGGGGAAGUGUUAGGGCAACCGAAGCACGGAACUUAAGCCCCGGUGAACGGCGGCCGUAACUAUAACGGUCCUAAGGUAGCGAAAUUCCUUGUCGGGUAAGUUCCGACC
rnacentral:rRNA from 1 species